AUGGACCCGGUCAAGUCGGCGGAACUUCAGGCGCAGCUUAAGGAGAUGAGGGCGGAGCUGAAGGAACGAUCUCUCCCCGGCGCCAAGGUGGUGAAGAAGAACAGGGCGGAGCUGCGGGAGGCGUACAGCAACCUCGAACCACCCAUCCUCCGUCUCAACUCCCGGCAAGACCCGUGCGCAUCACCACCAGGUGUUGUCAUGCUCUCAGGUUGA
rnacentral:rRNA from 1 species